rnacentral:lncRNA from 1 species
ACCUUGACUUUUCACAGUCACUCAAUAGAAAGUCAAAGUUGUAUAUGUAAAUACUUUUGUCAUAACAAAAUUUGUUCUUUUAUGUUUCUGUGAUAAAUUAAUUUUAGAAAUCAGCAUGUUCCAGGUGAACAUGGAUGUUUCGAUAUGUUACGUGUAUUUUGAUUGGUUGACAGUUGUUUAGAGAUAAUAAUGUGCUCAUUAUAUGUUAUGUGUUCUAAUUUUGUAUUUGUGCUAUAAUGAGGAAUGUAUUAUUUACCUCAGCUAUUUUAUUGGCUGAUAUUUUAAAUGAUAUGCUAUUCAAUCUUAUUUGAAAAAUAACAGGGUAUAAUACCGCCAAUUAAAAGUUCUGAAUAACACAAAUAAUUCGUACAUUGUUCUGAGUUGUUAGUUGCACCUGAAUUCACAAUGUUCUCCCCUUAUUGCUUUGACAAAAUCAUUUUCUGAUUUGAACGUAGCCUAUUCCUGAAUAUAAUGCAAUGUGGGUAUAAUUUCAAAAAGGGUACACCACAACAUUAUGAUUGGUUGAAAUCAUCCAACACUUUGGAUAACCAACCAAUGGCAUACCAUCAUUUUGAAUAUUGUUACAGAAGUAAUGAAAUUACCCUAAUAUUUUUAGAUUCUGACACUGCAAAUUGAAUAAGAUGUUUUGAGAGUAACACUAGUUUAAAGUAAAACAGAGUAAUAUAUGCUUUAAGCAGUCUUAAUUUUCCUGGCCAUCAGUUUCAGAUUAAUUUAUUUCCAUCAAUAUAUCGUUUUAGUAUUUGCAUACUUAAAAUUUGUAAAUUUAAUAUCAUUUGCUGCAAAAUUUUCAGUUCAUAUAUUACAAUUAUAAGGUAAUUAAUUAUUAGGUAUUUAUGAGGAAAUGACAGUCAUUAUUUUUAUUUUAAUUUCAGUGUUAUUGAAUAUCAGUAUUAAACAAUAUAAACAUUGUAACUUAUAUGGUAAACAAACAUACAGUGUAUUGACUGUCAGGAACAGUAAACAAAUUGUGAACCUUUAAAUUUUAUGCUCAAUGCUUUAUUGAAUUAGAAAAUUUUUCAGCUAUAUCCCUGAAAAUCUAAUUUUGUAUAACAAUUGUAUCUGAACAAUGUAGUUUUGAAUAAUGAAUACUUGCAGGAGUCAAGAUUAUAGAUUUAAGUUGGAAUUGAAUAAGAGUUAAAAAAGUAUAAAGUCUC